GAAAUCUGGAACUUUAGUGCAAUUCGUGUCUCCGUCCUUCCCUAUCGCCAUCUCUCUUCUCGUUUUCAGUGGUCAUUGGUGAGAGUGGAGGAUCAUCACAGCUCUGAGACGUCCAGGAGGUUCACCUUCAUAGCUCCCAUCUCUAUUUUUUUUUCUCCGUCUGCUACUCCGUCUGUGUCGUUCACGUUCGAGUUGCUACUAUGGUGAGAAGCCAAGUCGCCGGAGCUGCUAGUGGUGCUGUCAUGAGCUUGGUUUGUUGCUGCUAAUUCGGUUUCUUUCCUUUCUUGCGAGUAGCAUUCAGCUUCCCUCUCCCCUGUUCAGCUGUAGGUUUCAUUUUUUUCUUCUUCCCUAUGCGUGCGCUAUCAACGACCUGAGAUGUAAAAGAAGACUGUGGAAGCUCCAUCAAUUUUUCUCCUCCCCAUAACGUGUUGUAGCGUCGAGCUUUCUUCCCUAUUCGCUGUAGAUUUGUUGCCUCUUCUUAUUUAAGUGUCGUGACUGCCCAAGAUCCUAUUGCUGAUUUUUGAAGGGCAAUACAGCUAUAUUGGGUGGAAAUUUUGCUUGGUAUUGUUACCUUUUGAUGUAAAUAUUUAAGAAUCAUGUAUUUUAACUUAGAAGAAAGAUUAGUUGCUUCACAUAGGUUAUUGUUAGGACUUUAUUUUGACUUAUAUACUAUUUGCUAGUACAAAGGAGCUGAGCUCCUAAGUUAUUUGAUAUUUUGACUAAAUCAAUGUAUCAUAGAGUUUUUAA